rnacentral:lncRNA from 1 species
CCGGCUCCUCCCGCAAUGGAGAGGGUGCUCUGGAAGCUCUGGGGUUGGGGUCUCUUCGUCCCUGCAGGUCGGUGGUAGGAUGAAAGAGGAGACAGCGGGCUUGGAGGCACCAUAGGGAGGCGGGGCUGACGUGCCACAGUUGGUGGGAGCAGAGGCGCGGGCACAUCUCAGGGGGGCGGGGCCUGAUGCGCAGGAGUUUAUACAAGAUCUGGUUUCUAGGGAAGUUGGGGGUCCCAGAUGAUGGUCCUGUUUUCUUUGUAAUAAAGUAGGUGUUACAAAGUUUGGAGGAGGGCGCCUUUUAGGAAUCCCACCUAAAAGAACACCUCUUUGGACUAACCCUCUCACUGGUACUUCAAAGCAGAGGAAGUGUCACAGCUAUGCUUCCAGAGUGCUCUGUGCAUUUCCAUGAUCAACAAACGAUGAAUAAAUCUCUG